GUCUCCUCCUCAGCUGCGUCCCGCUGCUGCGUCCCGAGGGCGAGCCUGACCAAGCGCACUAGCCGGGCGGCGGCGGAGGAAACGAAAAGAAAUUGUAUCCAUGAGAUGCCAGAGCGCAAUCUGUUCAGCACCUUCCAAGUCGCCCAGUCUGAGUGUCCAGGGAGUUCAGCCUGUGUUACCCUGGCUGGAUAAGCCUGCCAGAAGAGGUCUCUUCUUGUUUUGUUGAAUCCACCACAGAAAGUAAAAGAGACUCAGAGAACUUUAGGCACCAACUGUGUAAGAGGAAACAAAGAUGUUUUGGAAUCGGGAACACAUAAACACUGCUUGGAACAGACUAAAAUAGUAAUCAUCAGCAUUCUUGUAUGACACAAAUUGGAUACUACGUAAUCUUUCUUUUAUUAAAGAAAAGGUAUUCAGAAGAGUCCUUCAAGCUGAUACUAUGAGCAUCUAGCUACAUUGUUAAGCCUUAAUCCUCAAAAUUAAUGUUCUUGAGUACACUGUUUCAAGAAAGGGAGAGCACAGAAGUACAGUAAAACCUGCUUUGAACUAUUGUUACCUAAUUCACAUUUGAAACCUUAAAUCCCAACAGGAUAACUUUGAAAUAAUUAUUCUCAUUCCAGUGGGGUUAUGCAUACUUUAAAGCAGUGUUUCUAAAACUCCAGGUGUCUUGGACUUCAGCUCCCAGAAAUCCCAGCCAGCUGCUAGGAAUUAUCGUCCAACCACAGUUGCCAUUUCUCAAAUGGGAAUAAGAAAUCCUGGAUCCAACAUGCCUACUCUGAGAGGUACUAAGGAUAGGUACAUUAUUGUUGAUUUUUAUGUUGGUGGGCUGUAAGCAAAGAACUUCAAAUGUCUAAAAUUCCUAUGUACAGAGGUGUUUUAGAUGUGAGGCUUUCGAGCAGCAACUUUUCUACUGUGGUCAUCAUGCCACAGACUAAAUUGAAUUAAAGGCCAAACUAUGUGCAACUUUGCUAAUUUG